rnacentral:rRNA from 1 species
UCCAGAGGUCCCAAGCGUUGUUCGGAUUCAUUGGGAGUAAAGGGUGUGUAGGUGGCGCCGUAAGUCGGGUGUGAAAUUUCGGAGCUUAACUCCGAAACUGCAUUCGAUACUGCGGUGCUUGAGGACUGGAGAGGAGACUGGAAUUCAUGGUGUAGCAGUGAAAUGCGUAGAGAUCAUGAGGAAGACCAGUGGCGAAGGCGGGUCUCUGGACAGUUCCUGACACUGAGACACGAAGGCCAGGGGAGCAAACGGG